GUCUAUGGCCAUGCCACCCUGAACAAGCCUGAUGUCUGAUCUCAGGAGCUAAGCAGGGUCGGGCCUGGUUAGUACUUGGAUGGGAGACCACCUAGGAAGACCAGGUACGUAGGCA
rnacentral:rRNA from 1 species